rnacentral:rRNA from 1 species
UCAGACAAGACCACCCGCUGAACUUAAGCAUAUCAAUAAGCGGAGGAAAAGAAACUAACCAGGAUUCCCCUAGUAACGGCGAGUGAACCGGGAAAAGCCCAACUUGAAAAUCUGCGACCUUCGGUCGUCGAAUUGUAGUCUAUAGAAGCGACCUCUGUAUCGGACCGGGCCCAAGUUCCCUGGAAAGGGACGUCGCAGAGGGUGAGAACCCCGUCGGCUCCGGUUGCGGAUGCUCCACGAGACGCUUUCGCAGAGUCGGGUUGUUUGGGAAUGCAGCCCUAAGCAGGUGGUAAAUCCCAUCUAAGGCUAAAUACUGGCGGGAGACCGAUAGCGAACAAGUACCGUGAGGGAAAGAUGAAAAGAACUUUGAAAAGAGAGUUAA